rnacentral:rRNA from 1 species
UACGUAGGGUGCGAGCGUUAAUCGGAAUUACUGGGCGUAAAGCGUGCGCAGGCGGUUCUCCAAGUCCGUUGUGAAAGCCCCGGGCUCAACCUGGGAAUGGCAGUGGAAACUAGGGGACUGGAAUCUGGCAGAGGGGGGUGGAAUGCCGCGUGUAGCAGUGAAAUGCGUAGAGAUGCGGCGGAACACCGAUGGCGAAGGCAGCCCCCUGGGCCGCGCCUGACGCUGAGACGCGAAAGCGCGGGGAGCGAACGGG